rnacentral:rRNA from 1 species
UACGUAGGGGGCAAGCGUUGUCCGGAUUUACUGGGCGUAAAGAGCGUGUAGGCGGCCAGGCAGGUCUGUUGUGAAAACUGGAGGCUCAACUUCCAGACGUCGACAGAAACCGCUCGGCUAGAGUCCGGAAGAGGAGAGUGGAAUUCCUGGUGUAGCGGUGAAAUGCGCAGAUAUCAGGAAGAACACCGAUGGCGAAGGCAGCUCUCUGGGACGGUACUGACGCUGAGACGCGAAAGCGUGGGGAGCGAACAGG